AGUUCUAAAAUGAAAUAGAUGGUUAGAUUGAUCGAUCUACAGUCUACUAGUCUACACUGACUGUAACUGAACUGAGGUUGAGCCUGCAAAAAAGACACAAAAUGGCAAGCAACAGUCAAUAGGGAAGAUUAUCCACAAAGGCACUGCUAGUGGUAAUAAAAGAGCUUCUGGCUCUGCCAAUGUUAAUCUGCCGUUGAACUUAGAGACCUCCAAAUGUGGUUCUUGU